rnacentral:rRNA from 1 species
ACGAACGCUGGCGGCGUGCUUAAUGCAUGCAAGUCGCACGAGGCCCCAUCGACGGGCAACCGUCGAGGGGUCCUAGUGGCGAACGGGUGAGUAACACGUGAGGAACCUGCCCCGGAGUCCGGAACAGCCCAGGGAAACUUGGAUUAAUGCCGGAUACCCUCGAUCGGUCGCAUGUCUGGUCGAGGAAAGGUCCGCCGCUCCGGGAUGGCCUCGCGGCCUAUCAGCUUGUUGGUGAGGUAACGGCUCACCAAGGCUACGACGGGUAGCUGGUCUGAGAGGACGAUCAGCCACACUGGGACUGAGACACGGCCCAGACUCCUACGGGAGGCAGCAGCAGGGAAUAUUGCACAAUGGGCGAAAGCCUGAUGCAGCGACGCCGCGUGAGGGAUGAAGGCCUCCGGGUUGUAAACCUCUUUCAGGAGGGACGAAGCGCAAGUGACGGUACCUCCAGAAGAAGCCCCGGCCAACUACGU